UACAGAGGUCCCAAGCGUUGUUCGGAUUCAUUGGGCGUAAAGGGUGCGUAGGCGGCGCGGUAAGUCGGGUGUGAAAUCUCGGGGCUUAACUCCGAAACUGCAUUCGAUACUGCCGUGCUUGAGGACUGGAAAGGAGACUGGAAUUUACGGUGUAGCGGUGAAAUGCGUGGAUAUCGUAAGGAAGACCAGUGGCGAAGGCGGGUCUCUGGACAGUUCCUGACGCUGAGGCACGAAGGCCGGGGGAGCAAACAGG
rnacentral:rRNA from 1 species